GCCCCGUUCGUCUAGCGGCCUAGGACGCCGCCCUCUCACGGCGGUAACACCGGUUCAAAUCCGGUACGGGGUAC
rnacentral:tRNA from 1 species